GAAAUGCGAUAAGUAAUGUGAAUUGCAGAAUUCAGUGAAUCAUCGAAUCUUUGAACGCACAUUGCGCUCUUUGGUAUUCCGGAGAGCAUGCCUGUUUGAGUAUCAGUAAACCCCCUCACAUCAAACAUUCGUGUUUGAACGUGGAAUUGAGGCUUCCCAGUCCCUAAGAUUGGGUGUCUCGAAAUUGAUGAAAGAGUCAGGAAAGUACUUGACGAAAAGUGUGUUAAAACGUCCUCAAGGGCAAUAUAUCGCUUAUUAAUCUAGUCUUUCCAAUUAAUGGCACUUCUACCGCUAUAAUAACUUCAAGGCAAAUUUAUUUUUGACUUGUCGUGUUCUUGAUCUCAAAUCAGGUAAGAGUACCCGCUGAACUUAA
rnacentral:misc_RNA from 1 species